GAGGAGCUGCUAUCAAAUCUUCAAAUAUCUACCACUGUGGCAAACCAAGCUACAGUAAUUUGGGUUGGGAGAUGGGGGGAAUGAAGGCUGCAGGUUCUCCACUGUUAUAAUAUUGUUAUGACUGUCUCCAACAAGAUGAAACAAGUGAAGGGUCUAAUCUGACUAUGAUAUACCAUGCUUUUGGCCUAUUUUUGGUCUUUUAAGAGCAAGUAGAUUUUUGUAAGCAUCGGCAUUUUUGGAUAUCUGGAUGCGCUUUCACAGAACAGCAUCUUUCUCUGCAGUCAUUUUCUUCCAAAGGUUUCUGUAGUCUCCUACGCAAAGAAUUGUAAGGUAGUCUAUGCUCUUGGGGGCCGAAUCAAAUUAGAAAGCGGAUGAGACAUCCACGUAGCUCAUAGGGUGGGAUAAAGGAUUGGGAUGGAUGAGGUUGGGAUUAUCGCCAUCUGUUGAGUACGGGAUUGGAACAUGUCUCCUGUCUGCAUCAAGACAAAAAUAUGUUGGACUGUUCUGUUGACUUUGGAAAGUUAAACGUACACGACUUUUGUUCUUUCUUAA